rnacentral:pre_miRNA from 1 species
AGCUUUCUGAAUCCGUGCAGAGAUUUCGUCAGACACUAACCCAUUAGUGUCUGAUCAGACUUCCAAAAUAGGUGAAGUU